CACUAUCAAAUCAGAGGCUGAUGGUCUGACUUGGUUUUCAUCCCACACCAGCCGAUCACUCCUCUAAGAUGCAUCAACGUUACCUUUCUGGGAGGUUUUAUUCAGAGCCAAUGAAGAGACAACUUCAACAACUAACAACGCAGCUUAAACCUUCCUGUUCACUUGACAAUUUAUUUAGGACUGUAAGUAAGUAACCACUAGAUGUCAGCAGCACAAUUAAACACUAUUCUUUAAAAUGAA